GAUGAACGCUGGCGGCGUGCCUAAUACAUGCAAGUCGAGCGAACAGACGAUGAGCUUGUUCCUUUGACGUUAGCCGCGGACGGGUGAGUAACACGUGGAUAACCUACCUAUAAUACUGGUAUCAUUUCGGGAAACCGGAGCUAAUCCCGGAUAAUAUAUUGAACCGCAUUGUUCAAUAGUAAAAGACGGUUUUGCUGUCACUUAUAGCUGGAUCCCCGCCGCGUUAGCUAGUUGGUAAGGUAACGGCUUAGCAAGGCGACGAUGCGUAUCCGACCUGAGAGGGUGGUAGGCCACAUGAGAACUGGAACAGGGUCCAUACUACUGCGGGAGGGAGCAGUAGGGUACCUGCGGCAAUGGGCGGAAGCCUGACAGAGCAAGGCGGAGUGAGAGAUGGAGAUGUUGGGAGCGUAAAAAUGGGUUAUGAGGGAAGAACAAAUGUGUAAGUAACUAUGCAGGGCGUGACGGUAACUAGUAAGAAAGCCACGGCUAACUACGUG
rnacentral:rRNA from 1 species